AUAGUCAUGGCAGAAUGGUUAAGGCGAUGGACUUGAAAUCCAUUGGGGGCUCCCCAGCAGGUUCGAAUCCUGCUGACUACA